UACGUAGGUGGCAAGCGUUGUCCGGAUUUACUGGGCGUAAAGAGCGCGCAGGCGGUCGUUCAAGUCGCGUGUGAAAGCCCCCGGCUCAACUGGGGAGGGUCACGCGAUACUGAUCGACUCGAAGGCAGGAGAGGGUAGUGGAAUUCCCGGUGUAGUGGUGAAAUGCGUAGAUAUCGGGAGGAACACCAGUGGCGAAGGCGGCAUGCUGGCGCAUUCCUGACACUGAGGCGCGAGAGCGUGGGGAGCAAACGGG
rnacentral:rRNA from 1 species